AUAGACCCGAAACCCGGUGAUCUAGCCAUGGGCAGGUUGAAGGUUGGGUAACACUAACUGGAGGACCGAACCGACUAAUGUUGAAAAAUUAGCGGAUGACUUGUGGCUGGGGGUGAAAGGCCAAUCAAACCGGGAGAUAGCUGGUUCUCCCCGAAAGCUAUUUAGGUAGCGCCUCGUGAAUUCAUCUCCGGGGGUAGAGCACUGUUUCGGCAAGGGGGUCAUCCCGACUUACCAACCCGAUGCAAACUGCGAAUACCGGAGAAUGUUAUCACGGGAGACACACGGCGGGUGCUAACGUCCGUCGUGAAGAGGGAAACAACCCAGACCGCCAGCUAAGGUCCCAAAGUCAUGGUUAAGUGGGAAACGAUGUGGGAAGGCCCAGACAGCCAGGAUGUUGGCUUAGAAGCAGCCAUCAUUUAAAGAAAGCGUAAUAGCUCACUGGUCGAGUCGGCCUGCGCGGAAGAUGUAACGGGGCUAAACCAUGCACCGAAGCUGCGGCAGCGACACUGUGUGUUGUUGGGUAGGGGAGCGUUCUGUAAGCCUGUGAAGGUGUGCUGUGAGGCAUGCUGGAGGUAUCAGAAGUGCGAAUGCUGACAUAAGUAACGAUAAAGCGGGUGAAAAGCCCGCUCGCCGGAAGACCAAGGGUUCCUGUCCAACGUUAAUCGGGGCAGGGUGAGUCGACCCCUAAGGCGAGGCCGAAAGGCGUAGUCGAUGGGAAACAGGUUAAUAUUCCUGUACUUGGUGUUACUGCGAAGGGGGGACGGAGAAGGCUAUGUUGGCCGGGCGACGGUUGUCCCGGUUUAAGCGUGUAGGCUGGUUUUCCAGGCAAAUCCGGAAAAUCAAGGCUGAGGCGUGAUGACGAGGCACUACGGUGCUGAAGCAACAAAUGCCCUGCUUCCAGGAAAAGCCUCUAAGCAUCAGGUAACAUCAAAUCGUACCCCAAACCGACACAGGUGGUCAGGUAGAGAAUACCAAGGCGCUUGAGAGAACUCGGGUGAAGGAACUAGGCAAAAUGGUGCCGUAACUUCGGGAGAAGGCACGCUGAUAUGUAGGUGAAGUCCCUCGCGGAUGGAGCUGAAAUCAGUCGAAGAUACCAGCUGGCUGCAACUGUUUAUUAAAAACACAGCACUGUGCAAACACGAAAGUGGACGUAUACGGUGUGACGCCUGCCCGGUGCCGGAAGGUUAAUUGAUGGGGUCAGCGCAAGCGAAGCUCUUGAUCGAAGCCCCGGUAAACGGCGGCCGUAACUAUAACGGUCCUAAGGUAGCGAAAUUCCUUGUCGGGUAAGUUCCGACCUGCACGAAUGGCGUAAUGAUGGCCAGGCUGUCUCCACCCGAGACUCAGUGAAAUUGAACUCGCUGUGAAGAUGCAGUGUACCCGCGGCAAGACGGAAAGACCCCGUGAACCUUUACUAUAGCUUGACACUGAACAUUGAGCCUUGAUGUGUAGGAUAGGUGGGAGGCUUUGAAGUGUGGACGCCAGUCUGCAUGGAGCCGACCUUGAAAUACCACCCUUUAAUGUUUGAUGUUCUAACGUGGACCCGUGAUCCGGGUUGCGGACAGUGUCUGGUGGGUAGUUUGACUGGGGCGGUCUCCUCCUAAAGAGUAACGGAGGAGCACGAAGGUUGGCUAAUCCUGGUCGGACAUCAGGAGGUUAGUGCAAUGGCAUAAGCCAGCUUGACUGCGAGCGUGACGGCGCGAGCAGGUGCGAAAGCAGGUCAUAGUGAUCCGGUGGUUCUGAAUGGAAGGGCCAUCGCUCAACGGAUAAAAGGUACUCCGGGGAUAACAGGCUGAUACCGCCCAAGAGUUCAUAUCGACGGCGGUGUUUGGCACCUCGAUGUCGGCUCAUCACAUCCUGGGGCUGAAGUAGGUCCCAAGGGUAUGGCUGUUCGCCAUUUAAAGUGGUACGCGAGCUGGGUUUAGAACGUCGUGAGACAGUUCGGUCCCUAUCUGCCGUGGGCGCUGGAGAACUGAGGGGGGCUGCUCCUAGUACGAGAGGACCGGAGUGGACGCAUCACUGGUGUUCGGGUUGUCAUGCCAAUGGCACUGCCCGGUAGCUAAAUGCGGAAGAGAUAAGUGCUGAAAGCAUCUAAGCACGAAACUUGCCCCGAGAUGAGUUCUCCCUGACCCUUUAAGGGUCCUGAAGGAACGUUGAAGACGACGACGUUGAUAGGCCGGGUGUGUAAGCGCAGCGAUGCGUUGAGCUAACCGGUACUAAUGAACCGUGAGGCUUAACCUU
rnacentral:rRNA from 1 species